rnacentral:rRNA from 1 species
AGUGAACGCUGGCGGUAGGCCUAACACAUGCAAGUCGAACGGCAGCACAGUAAGAGCUUGCUCUUACGGGUGGCGAGUGGCGGACGGGUGAGGAAUACAUCGGAAUCUACUUUUUCGUGGGGGAUAACGUAGGGAAACUUACGCUAAUACCGCAUACGACCUACGGGUGAAAGCAGGGGAUCUUCGGACCUUGCGCGAUUGAAUGAGCCGAUGUCGGAUUAGCUAGUUGGCGGGGUAAAGGCCCACCAAGGCGACGAUCCGUAGCUGGUCUGAGAGGAUGAUCAGCCACACUGGAACUGAGACACGGUCCGGACUCCUACGAGAGGCAGCAGUGGGGAAUAUUGGACAAUGGGCGCAAGCCUGAUCCAGCCAUACCGCGUGGGUGAAGAAGGCUUUCGGGUUGUAAAGCCCUUUUGUUGGGAAAGAAAAGCAGCAGGUUAAUACCCCGCUGUUCUGACGGUACCCAAAGAAUAAGCACCGGCUAACUUCGUG